AUUGAACGCUGGCGGCAGGCCUAACACAUGCAAGUCGAGCGGAUGACGGGAGCUUGCUCCUUGAUUCAGCGGCGGACGGGUGAGUAAUGCCUAGGAAUCUGCCUGGUAGUGGGGGACAACGUUCCGAAAGGGGCGCUAAUACCGCAUACGUCCUACGGGAGAAAGUGGGGGAUCUUCGGACCUCACGCUAUCAGAUGAGCCUAGGUCGGAUUAGCUAGUUGGUGAGGUAAAGGCUCACCAAGGCGACGAUCCGUAACUGGUCUGAGAGGAUGAUCAGUCACACUGGAACUGAGACACGGUCCAGACUCCUACGGGAGGCAGCAGUGGGGAAUAUUGGACAAUGGGCGAAAGCCUGAUCCAGCCAUGCCGCGUGUGUGAAGAAGGUCUUCGGAUUGUAAAGCACUUUAAGUUGGGAGGAAGGGCAGUAAGUUAAUACCUUGCUGUUUUGACGUUACCGACAGAAUAAGCACCGGCUAACUCUGUG
rnacentral:rRNA from 1 species